rnacentral:rRNA from 1 species
GACAGAGGGUGCAAACGUUGCUCGGAAUUACUGGGCGUAAAGCGCGUGUAGGCGGCUUGUUAAGUCGGGUGUGAAAUCCCUCGGCUCAACCGAGGAAGUGCAUUCGAUACUGGCAAGCUCGAGUACCGGAGAGGGUCGUGGAAUUCCUGGUGUAGAGGUGAAAUUCGUAGAUAUCAGGAGGAACACCGGCGGCGAAGGCGGCGACCUGGACGAGUACUGACGCUCAGACGCGAAAGCGUGGGGAGCAAACAGG